rnacentral:lncRNA from 1 species
UCCGGUGGCCGUAGGUUGUCGGACGUCCGGUGGCACAUCGAUCGUCCGACCUCUGGGGACUCCGCAGCUCCGUCUUCCUCCAUCUUCGCUUCCAUGCUUCCCUCGCGGAUGGUGUAGGUGUUCCUUGGCGCUUGCACCUCUCCUCGUCAUCCGUAGCGUUCCGACAAUACCUAUGCAUGCACACGAGUGGAGUGUCAAGUAGUAUACAAUCCUCAAAGGGGUCAAGUGAACACGUGUAAAGGAGAAGAUUCACCUUUAUGUAUGAGAAGUAGAGGUCGCACGUGUCACUUGCCAAACAGACUUUUGACAUGGUGAUGACCGUAGGAUGCUCCACAUCACAAACCAAAAAAUGAAGCAACAAAGGUUGAUUGCCUACACCUUUAUCAACUAACACUGCUUGCUCAUUUGGUCACCGCAUAGAAGCCGGUAAGCAACUAAUAAUCUGCUACAAGAGGUACAACUUUAUCAUCUGUCUCCUACUCAUACAUCAAGCUUUCAAAGUAUAUCUAAUUUUCAGGUCUGGACAGAUUCAAGCAACUGAGAGCAUACUACCCUUUUUGGUUCAAAUUAAAUGGCCCAAUCUUCCAUCAGAUUGAUAUGGGGCUUAGAGUUUAGAACAUACUUACAACAUGGGGCUUAGAGUUUAGAACUGACUUACAGCUGGAUAAUGUAAUACGGCAAUACCUGUAGAAUGAUAAUGCAAAUACCUGUAGUUAAAUCCAUCAGUUUUAGCACAUUCGUAGAACCAUGUUUCUCCACUGCUCUGCAAUCAUUUGUUAACGCACCUUUUGUCAGUAUGAGCAACCAACAUCAUCUAAAAGGAAGCAUACAAAUGUAGGUACCGCAACUCUCUAUAAUGUAGACAGUUCAUAGCAGAAUACACACAGCGCAAGGAGCAGAUGUUGAAAGCGCAAGAUCUUAUACAAAAGGUCUCAACCAUGUAAUGUUGAAAAGCAUAAGAAUAAUGCCAUAAACUUAAAUACUAAUCUUUAAAAAUAUCAUUAGAAAGAGCAGUACAUCAUAGAAAAACAAUGCAAUAAGUAUAGACAACCUAGCCACUCCAACUUAAAAAGAAUCAAGUUCCAACUCCAGAACACAUAUGACCAUUACAGAACCACUUAUCAGUACUACAUUCUGGCCUUACCGUCACAUGGCAACCAAACUAAUCCUCAUAUAUUUUAAAAAAAAACAACAACUCUACUGACCCUUCAUAGGCAGAACUCAACUAACCGGCUGGUUAGCCAAGCAUUAUGUGCCUGCUGCAAUCUUCAAGUAUAUACUCUAACCUACUUAUUUCUUGAUACUGAGAGAUGCAAAAAGAAGUUAGAGUAGCCAAGGCUUAGAUGUUGUACCAGUCAGCAAAUCUGCACUGCUCUGCUUGGAAGAGCGUCAGAUGGAUCCAGCCAUCGUUGGCCAGAGACGCACCAAAGUACGACCUUACAACCCCUUUUCAUCCCCUCUCGCCUCCUCAAAUAUUAAAAAUAUUGUGUAUUUAAAUUUCUUCUUUAGCAAUGGAAAGCAUAAGGAAAGCUCGAUGAGAAUUGAAUAACUUCCUAGAAAUAAAUAAGUGACAACUAAACAAGGCACACAGAAGGCAAAAACUUCAUGAUUUGUAUGCCUUCUUUUCACUGAUGAUGAUGCUUACUUUAGUGUAGCCCUAGUGAAAAAGAAAAUAAACUUGUGCCUUAUCGAUCAAAAUGUCACUACCUAGACUAAUGGUCCAAACAAAAUCACCUCUAUGGACAAAAGAUUCCAAUGGAUAAUUGACUGUAAUGUGUAUGAUGAUCAUGCAUAUCUAGCUCUAUAUUAGCAUGUUAGGGAAAAAAUCAAGAAAUUAAAGGCAAUAUAUCUCAGGGAAUAAGAUGCAUCUUUCACAUCUCAGUUAAAAGAAGCCCCAACAUCACCAGUAAAAGUGUUUGUCUUUGGUUCAAUUUUCCUGACUUCCCCAAGUGCUUGUACAGUUGAAAAAUAUAUCAUAACUGAAUACAAUGAAACAGCAAGAAGCAAAUGGCAAGAAAAUUGAAAUGGUGUAGCAAUUAAGUACUACAGCAAACCGAAUAGGAACAGAUCAAAUAUAAACAAAGAAGUGCAAUGCCCUUUUCCUUAUGGUGGCGUUCCUUAAUGUAACCUACAAACCAACCAUGUCAUCUAUUUUUGUGCUACAUAUAGACUGAAACCAAGCAAGAUAAUGUAAUCUGACAAGAAGUAUAGUAUAGCUGAUUUAGAAAUUGUGAAUUGGCCAUUCCAAACAAAAACAACAUUGCUGGUGCUGCAAAAAUGGAUAAUCCAGCGCCAAAUAGUGAUGCCUCCAUAAAUCAAAUCCCUAGGAAUUUUCCCGCAGAUAGCAACAAAAAAAAAACAAAUCUCAGAACAAGGUACCACUCAGUAGAAAUCUGAAAACUGCACUGGGCAAUGCCAUCAAAAAAGUCACACCCGGCCAUCAUUACACCAUACUGCAAAUUUUGCAUUUUCAGUGUUACGAUCGUUCAUGCAUAUAUCAUUACACUGCAGUUCUCCAGAAAUAGACCGAGUUAAUUAUUCUGUUCUACAAAAAGAUCAGAAUCACGAUUGUCGAGUAUCCUCUCUCAAACUAAAAACAUCAAUUCGUAGCUAAUCCCCAAAUAUAGAUAGUAAUCUGACGAAACCAAAACACCGCAUUCACCAAAUAUGGAGAUCUGAAGAUUGGAAGGGAGGCAUAGGAUACCUGUAAAAGUAGGAGAUCAUGGCUAAACGCACAGAACACACACGCAUCAAGGACCAGGGAGAGCAGGGAUUUGGUGGAAGUUACCUUGCCGGGAUGGGAUUCUUGGUGUCAACAGUGGAGCUAACUCGCGGCAGUGACGGAGGUGACUCGAGGCGACGGCCAGGGCGACUCCAUGCAGUGGCUAGCGAAUCCAGGUGGCAGCGACGGCCAAGCCAGGGCGCCCUUGAUCC